GAGGCUGAGGCACCGAUCAGGGAAUGGAUGUGCCAACAGGAAUGGGAAAAUCCGCAUGCACACAACACUGUGCUCCCAUCAACACCCGGGGAGUGUGGCUGAAUUAAUGUACAGCUGCAUUAACAGUGACUGCCAGAGGAAUUAAAGUCUAUACUGCAUAGUGCCACAGAAAGAGAUGCUAAAAAUUUUUAAAUUAUGUUCACUGAUAAAAACAAGUAAGUUUGUGAAGUUUGGGCCUCAAGACACAUCCACAUCACUGAAGAGCUGCAUCUGACAAUGUAACAGAAAUACUGGAGGCAGAAGUUUUCAGCAGGCUUUGCAGAAAGGCUUUCCCAGACAGCAACUGAUAACCUAUAAAUUCAGAAGUUCCUGCCCUGUAAUACAACUGAGAUAUAAUUUCCCACGGUGAGAAUUGGUCCCUCUUCCAAUUACAUGUUUUCAUCUUUGCACUGACUCUGCCACUCACUUGACUUCUAGUGAGUUUGUUCAACUCUCCAACUAAGCAGAAAAAUACUGAGGGUUUGGUGUGGGGGGCCGUGUUUGUGUUGGU